UUCUGUCUUUGGUUUUUUUUUUUUUGGUCAGUGGAAAAAGGUGUAAUAAUGGUGUUGCAGUGUUUUGCCCUUCUGGUUUUUUUCCUCAGUAGGAGCCAUGGACAUACUGAAUUCAUUUAUACAGCAAAGGAAGAAGUAAAAUUGUUUUGCAGAACCAACACAUGGCAAAUAAGCACAGAGUCUGACAACAGCAUUGAUGUGAAUUGCACAGUGGAGUGUGUUCAUGGUGAACCACUCAAACUUAAUAAUAACCUGAAAUCCUGCUCAAAUAAACAUUCAGACAAAGUUGGUGAAAAAUGUCCGCUAAUAGCAAGCAGUGGAUUUUUUCGAUGUGUUACUGCUCUGGAUUCUGGUUUCUUGUUUCCAUUCAAACCGUCUCCCAACACUGUCACCUCAUACAUAGUCGCUACUGCAAAUGAAGAAAUGACAACCAAGUCUGAGGAAAGAUCUUCAGUCGAGCUAACUGAAGGUGAAGAAAUACUUUUAAACUGCAGUGUCAUCUUUACAGAAGAAUAUAACUACAGGAAUUUUGUCCUGUACUGGAUCAAGACCAUUGAAAAGAACAGUAACUGUGUGUAUUCUUAUGAUUUUGACACCGAUACUGGUAUAAAGUACAAUCACCACUGCAAUGUGCAAGAAGAACUGCUUUCCAGGAUCUCAAACCAAAAUGAAGGACAGAACAGAAACAUCCAUAACAUCAGGAUCAGUAACGUAACAGAGUCAGAUGCUGGACAAUAUCUUUGUGCCUUACAAAUGCACACAAAAGAUAAAACAAAAGGAAUGUGGAAGAUCAUAAAUAAUAUUACAGUCAGUGUACAUAAAGACAAAGCAUCUGAAAUAGCUGCAAACAGCACUGGUGAGUUUCAACUACAUUUGGCUAUACGUGUGUGUGUGUGUGUGUGUGUGUGUAUUUAGGGGAUGGAAAGAGAUCGACAUAAGAACCCAGCAUGUUGUUGUAGACUAUUUUUCCCUAAUGAUAUUUAACUGUUUUUACACAGAUGACGAAUCUU